AGGAGACAAUAGAACAACAUUUAACUCACCUGCUCUGCAGUAGUGGCAUUUGCUUCACUUCUGUGCAUGUCAGUACAGCCUGUGUGAAAGGAGAAUGCAGAGUUAUUUUCUUGCAUCAUGUGGUUUGUUUGUUUUCUUACUCUAGAUCUGGCAGCAGGCUGUCAAGCAGUGGGGGUGGGAUGUGCACAUCAGGAGAGGAGAGCUCUGUGGAGUGGAGUUGUGCUCAGCUGGAUGCUGACAAACAGCAAAGCCCAGAGGAGUGGCUGGUAAGAUCAAAAAGCACAUUGGUUGAAAUCCCAAACCCCUGAAACAAAAUCUGAUAGAGGGAGAGUAUGAUGCUUCAGCUGCAAAAGGAGGGAACUUACCCUGGGGGUUGCACAGCAGUUUUCCUUUGGCUGUGAUGCAAUAAUGCAAUCAAAAAGCAGUGUUUCCCAGAGUCUUCAAUUUGUUUCGCCAAAUGUAAAAUGUUUUACACACCAAUAAAGAAACAAUCUUAAAGUUAAAAACAGUGAUACUAUUUAGUGCAAAACAUUGUACAAGGCUACAACUUCAGCUCUUCGUAGCAUUCGGGGUGUUCUUUUAAACAAUCAUGAGUCCAGCGUAGUGCUGAAUAUCCUUUAAUGCUAACUGUCUGUAUUUGGAUGGGAGUGAAAGGAACUUUUAUUUGAUCCACCAACUGUUGCUGAAAGGAUAUUUCCUGUAACCGUGCUGCUAUAUGGAGGCCCAAAACUGUGUAGCAGACUAAUGAACACUCUUUCCCAGGCAUGUUGUGUGAAGUGUAAGGCUUAAAUGUAUCCCUAAGAGCCCACAGAUACUUGUCUGCUCCAGCUAAUGAAGCUGUGAUUGCAGGGCUCCGUGCCUCUCGGCUUUGAUUGGAGAAGGAUUGAGUUGCCUCUCAACCAGACUGCCCUAAUCAACCUUCUCCACACCACAAAUAUCUUCCACUUCACUGUUUAUAUCUCUCUUGCACUCUGGCAACAGACCCCGAUAAUAAGGCAGCAUUUGAUUUUUGCAAAACAGGAAUAAGUGUUAUGAACACUGAUGGCACUGCCUGUAAAGUUUAAAUUCAAUUUAAGAUCUGAUUUUAGAGGAAAUGCUUUUUGGAGUUUGGACAUUUAUUUUCAAUUUUUAUUCUUACGGCUUCCAAUUUUGAAACAGUUGAACCCGUUACAUUUUGUUUUUUUUAAGAGGUGACACAUUAAGUAGAUGAUGUACUCUGAAAUGUGUCACCAUGUCAAAUGUAAAGGUUUCAGAUGCUCAGUUAAUUUAAAUGUCCUCUGUCCUCCAGCAGCCUCAGAUGCCUUGGGAGCCUCGAAUGUUCCCUUUGGGUGCUGUUGAGGUGGACGCA